UCUAUGUGGGUGAUAUUCAAGAGGUAUGCUUUCUGAAUGUUCAAAUCCAGGUUGUCACGUUUCAUUUUUCUCAUAGUUUAAGAAAAGACAAUUAAUAUUAUGCCAACUCACAUUUUUCGUUCCAUCUUUCCUUUUAUACCCUCAUUAUUUUCUAGAAAAAUUGGUAUCUUUCUCUUUAUUUAGAGUUGUUUGCCUUGGAAAUGUAUAAUGUUAUAAUUAAACUCACAUUUUGCUAUGGAGUUAAUAAGG
rnacentral:misc_RNA from 1 species